UCAAGUUUUCUCAUCCUAGAAACGUAGAUGAAGAAUGGCAGUUUCAAAGCAGGGAAGCAACCCUAGAUCUGCAUUGGCGACGGACGAGCGCAGCAACACCACGACCGCCGCCGAACGAAUCACCCGUUUUCCCUCUAAAUAUUGACACAUAUGGAUUAACAUAGGUGUUAGGAUUUAGGAUUUCCACUCUCUCUUCCACAACCGCUCACCCCUCACUAUCUCCUUCCAAUUUCCUCCGGAGAACGAUUACAGUGAAAUCGACAAAUGAUGACACCAACAGCAUAGCGGCAAUUGUAUGACAAAUUUAAGGAAUGCAAUCAAUAGUUCUGUAUUCUUAUAACUAAUAAUUAUAAGUUUAUUAGAAGAUUUCAUGUAACAGUGUAACCAUAAGGUAUGGGUAUUCAACUGAGUUUGUUUAUGUUACUUAAUAUGUGGCCAUAAAAUAAUUUGCUUUGCCACUCUUGUAUAUUAUCAGAAACGACAUCGAAAAGGAUUUUGGGAAAAAAUGGGGGAUCAGAAAAGCAUAUCCUGUAGAUACAAUAAAUUCAGCGGGAUUUUGUUUUAGAUAAUAUGGGAUUUAGGAAUAAAUCUAGCCACAACUAUAUAUGAAAGAAACAAGCAUCUUCAACCACAUUAUGACAGUUAGUUGCUUGGAGCUUAUGGGGAGACGAAUUUCUGCAAUGAAAUCGGGAAGGAACUCAACUAAAUCAAUGUGGCAGUUGGGUUAAGAUGACUUACUUGAACUGCACUCCAAUUAUCUACUCAUGCCGGAUCUGAAAAGUAAACAAAAUGUAUGCUAGACACGCAUUUUUUUUUCCGGAAUAAUUCAGUCCAGCUCAAAUUACUCCGAACACCAUAAUGACGUGGGACACUUUGCUAAUGGAUUAAGGAAGUACGUUUGGCAGCUUCAAUUUCUGGAUGAUGGUAUUAUUAAAAGUUAUUUGGAUCAAGUUAGUAUGUAUGUAAGUUAAUGUACUUUGUGUACUCUCUUUGAUUUAUGUUAUAUGAAUGUUUAGGACCUAUGAUUAGUAUAUAUAUGAGUGGAAUAAGAUGGUGGAUAAAUAAUUAUAAUGAUUGUUCUUAGAUGGAUUCACGGAUGGCUAUUUCUAAUGGAAUGAUUUUGAUUCUAUUA